GAUGAACGCUGGCGGCGUGCCUAAUACAUGCAAGUCGAGCGAACGGACGAGAAGCUUGCUUCUCUGAUGUUAGCGGCGGACGGGUGAGUAACACGUGGAUAACCUACCUAUAAGUCUGGGAUAACUUCGGGAAACCGGAGCUAAUACCGGAUGAUAUUUUGAACCGCAUGGUUCAAAAGUGAAAGACGGUCUUGCUGUCACUUAUAGAUGGAUCCGCGCUGCAUUAGCUAGUUGGUAAGGUAACGGCUUACCAAGGCAACGAUGCAUAGCCGACCUGAGAGGGUGAUCGGCCACACUGGAACUGAGACACGGUCCAGACUCCUACGGGAGGCAGCAGUAGGGAAUCUUCCGCAAUGGGCGAAAGCCUGACGGAGCAACGCCGCGUGAGUGAUGAAGUUCUUCGGAUCGUAAAACUCUGUUAUUAGGGAAGAACAUAUGUGUAAGUAACUGUGCACAUCUUGACGGUACCUAAUCAGAAAGCCACGGCUAACUACGUG
rnacentral:rRNA from 1 species